AUGGAGCGGAUCCUCAAGGCCGCCAGGGAGUCCGGCUCCCUCAACCUCUCCAACCGCUCCCUCAGUGAGGUGCCCGGGGAGGUGUAUAACAACUUGGAAACGGGCAGCUUGGACGACAAAUGGUGGGAGGGAGUGGACCUCCAGAAGCUCAUACUGGCUCAUAACAACCUGGAAGUGUUGAGAGAAGACCUUAGGAAUCUGUCUUCUCUUGUCGUGUUAAACAUAAGCCACAACCAGCUAUCUUCCGUUCCUGCAGCCAUUGGAGACCUUCCGUUGUUAAAAUCAUUGGAUGUCUCGUUCAAUCAAAUAAAACUUAUACCCGAAGAAGUUGGCUUGGCUACUGCUUUAGUCAAGGUCGACUUCUCAAAUAAUUGCCUCACUGAGCUGCCAGCUAGCCUUGGCAGAUGCAUGAACUUGUCAGAACUCAAGGCAUCAAACAACAAUAUAUCCAGAUUACCAGAUGAACUUUCUGGUUGCUGCAAGCUAAAUAAAUUUGAUCUGGAGGGAAACAAGCUUGUGCUACUUCAAGAAAAUAUGUUCACAUCAUGGACACUGCUCAUAGAGCUGAAUGCUGCGAAAAAUCAACUUACGACCAUUCCAGCUAGUAUCGGAGCACUUUCAAAAUUAGUUCGAAUGGACCUGCACCAGAACAAGAUAACUUCGAUUCCUUCUUCCAUAAAGGGCUGCUCUUCUCUAGCUGAGUUCUACAUGGGAAAUAAUAUAUUGUCGACAAUACCAGAUGAUAUUGGCAUGCUAUCAAAAUUAGGAACACUUGAUCUUCACUCCAAUCAGCUGAAGGAGUAUCCUGUGGGAGCUUGCAAACUCAAGCUCAGUUUUCUUGAUCUGUCAAACAACGCAUUAUCCGGCCUGCCAGCCGAACUAGGUACAAUGACAACCCUAAGAAAGCUUCUGCUUAGCGGAAAUCCUAUGAGGGCACUUCGUAGUUCUUUGGUUUCUGGACCAACAUCAACAUUGAUGAAGUAUCUGCGAAGCCGCCUUUCGUCUGAGGAGGAAGCAUCAGGGUCUAGAACCACCCCAACAAAAGAUGACCAGAUUUCUGCAGCAAGACGAUUAUCUGUAUCUUCAAAGGAGUUGAAUUUGAGUGGUCUUGGUGUGCCCAAUGUACCCCCUGCAGCUUGGGAGACAAGUGAUGUGGUGAAACUUGAUCUUUCUAAGAACUUGAUAGAAGAUCUGCCAAAUGAGUUGUCCCUGUGCUCAUCACUUCAAGCUUUGAUUCUGUCUAAUAACAAGAUAAAAAAGUGGCCUGGCAUGGUUUCCUCCCUUCCCAGUCUCACUUCCUUGAAGCUGGACAAUAAUCCUCUAGCAGAGAUAUCGUCCACUGAUCUUGAGUCUCUAUCAAAACUUGAAGUUCUGGAUUUAAGUGGGAAUGCAUCCUCAUUGAGUGAGCCUGCUGUGGUUUCUUCAUUACCACGACUUCAAGAACUCUAUCUUAGGCGAAUGAAACUUCAAGAAUUUCCUAUUGGGCUUGUACAAUUAAAACAUCUACGCAUUCUUAACCUCAGUCAAAAUAAUCUCUCAACCAUACCAGAGGGUAUCAAGGAUUUUACUGCUCUCAUCGAGCUAGAUCUUUCAGACAACAAUAUAACAAGGCUUCCAGCUGAGCUGGGUCUGCUUGAGCCUAGCCUACAAGUGCUUAAACUUGAUGGAAAUCCCCUCAGGAGCAUAAGGCGGACUGUUCUGGAGCGAGGAACGAAAGCUGUUCUCAGCUAUCUCAAAGAAAAGCUCCCAUCCAACUGA
rnacentral:rRNA from 1 species